rnacentral:rRNA from 1 species
GUCAAAUCAGCACGGCCCUUACGUCCGGGGCGACACACGUGUUACAAUGGCCGGUACAGAGGGCAGCUACACAGUAAUGUGAUGCUAAUCUCUAAAACCGGUCUCAGUUCGGAUUGGAGUCUGCAACCCGACUCCAUGAAGUUGGAUUCGCUAGUAAUCGCACAUCAGCCAUGGUGCGGUCGAAUACGUUCCCGGGCCUU